rnacentral:rRNA from 1 species
ACGAAGGUUUCCGUAGGUGACCUGCGGAAGGAUCAUUA